rnacentral:rRNA from 1 species
GAUGAACGCUGGCGGCGUGCCUAAUACAUGCAAGUCGAGCGAACGGACGAGAAGCUUGCUUCUCUGAUGUUAGCGGCGGACGGGUGAGUAACACGUGGAUAACCUACCUAUAAGACUGGGAUAACUUCGGGAAACCGGAGCUACUACCGGAUAAUAUUUUGCACCGCAUGGUUCAAAAGUGAAAGACGGUCUUGCUGUCACUUAUAGAUGGAUCCGCGCUGCAUUAGCUAGUUGGUAAGGUAACGGCUUACCAAGGCAACGAUGCAUAGCCGACCUGAGAGGGUGAUCCGACACACUGGAACUGAGACACGGUCCAGACUCCUACAGGAGGCAGCAGUAGGGAAUCUUCCGCGAUGGGCGAAUGCCUGACGGAGCAACGCCGCGUGAGUGAUGAAGGUCUUCUGAUCGGAGAACUCUGUUAGUAGUGAAGAAGAAAUGUGUAAGUAACUGGGCACAUCUUGACGGUACCUAAUCAGAAAGCCACGGCUAACUACGUG